rnacentral:rRNA from 1 species
UGCGAUGCAUUAGCUAGUUGGUAAGGGUAACGGGCUUUACCAAGGCGAUGAUGCAUAGCCGAGUUGAGAGACUGAUCGGGCCACAUUGGGACUGAGACACGGGCCCAAACUCCUACGGGAGGCAGCAGUAGGGGGAAUCUUCCACAAUGGACGAAAAGUCUGAUGGAGCAAACGCCGCGUGAGUGAAGAAGGUUUUCGGAUCGUAAAAAGCUCUGUUGUUGGUGAAGAAGGAUAGAGGUAGUAAACUGGCCCCUUUAUUUGACGGUAAUCAACCCAGAAAAGUCACGGGGCUAACUACGUGCCCAGCAGCCGCGGUAAAU